CUGAAUAUUAAAUGGCCGCAGUAUUUUAACUGUGCAAAGGUAGCAUAAUCAUUAGUUUUUUAAUUGAAAGCUUGAAUGAAUGGUUGGACGAAAUAUUUACUGUUUCUAAUAAAUUGCAAUAAAAUUUUAUUUUUUAGUUAAAAAGCUAAAAUUUUAUUAAAAGACGAAAAGACCCUAUAAAUCUUAAUAUUAAAAUAAUUAUAAUUAUAUAGAUUAAUUAAAUUAUUAUUAUAUAAUAUUUUAUUGGGGUGAUAUUAAAAUUUAUUAAACUUUUAAUAAUUAAUUACAAUAAUUAAUGAGUUAUUGAUCCAUUUAUUAUGAAUCAAAAAAUAAGAUACUUUAGGGAUAACAGCGUAAUUUUUUUAAAGAGUUCUAAUCGAUAAAAAAGAUUGCGACCUCGAUGUUGGAUUAAGAUAUAAUUUUAGGUGCAGUAAUUAAAAAUUUUGGUCUGUUCGACCUAUAAAUUCUUACAUGAUCUGA
rnacentral:rRNA from 1 species